rnacentral:misc_RNA from 1 species
AAGUCGUAACAAGGUUUCCGUAGGUGAACCUGCGGAAGGAUCAUCAAUGAAAUUUUUCUUCAUUUCAAUAUUAACAAGGGAAUGUCUUCUUUCUUUUAGGAAGCUUUCUCCAGUCUAUAAACUCUUUUUUGGGAAGUUGGAGUGUCUCUUUUGUUGAGAGCCUCCAAAUAUUCAAAACAAUUAACCAUAAGUUUUCCCCUUUCCUUCUUCUUUUUUAAGGCAGAAAGAGAGAAAAACUUUUCUUUUUUAUUUUUCAAUAAGUUAUUGAUUUUUUUACAAUCAAAAAUACAACUUUUAGCAAUGGAUCUCUAGGCUCUC